rnacentral:lncRNA from 1 species
GGUAAGAAUGAUCUGAGAAAGUGGUGAAAGUGGCAAUGUGUUUUGUGAUCUGACCUCAGAAAUGACGUAUUGUCAUCUUCUAUUUGGUAGAGGAGAGCUGUUAUGUCUAGCUCACGCUCAAGGAAAUGACUUACUGCAAAGAACCACUCUUCCCCACGAGACUUCGAGAAGACCCGCUGUCACGGACUGAGUUGUGUCCUCUUAAAAUUCAGAUGUUGGAGUCCAAACCCCCAGUAACUCAGAGUGUGAACGUAUUUGAAGAGGUCUUUAAAGAGGUGAUGAAGGUCUUUGUCUCUGACAAUUUGCCUCUGUGACGUGGAUGGGACUGGAAGUCCAUUUGGAGCCCUGUCUUCUCCACCUAGGGAGAGAGACCCCAUGAGCUCGUCAAGCUCCUUCUGUGACUGAUCAGAGAUCCCACCGUGAGUCCAGCUCCUGGUCCCAUGCUCUGGAUAUAUCGGUCCCUGGCAGCGUGGCUCCAUCUCCGUAGCCUGCUUUUGACAAAAGUGGAUACAUAAAUCUAGGGGCCACCUAGCUAGUUCUAAUAAGACUUUGGAAGUCAAAAGCUAAAGAAGACCAGGGGACCAAGCUGGAAAUCAGGCUCUGCAAUCAGAUUCCAGAGGGAAUGCCAUUCCACCCAAUCACCUAGCCACAACGGUUCCCUUCCUUCAAGAUGCUGCAUGCCUCUUCAGGCGAAUGGAUUACCUUGUAAGAGUGACCUGAAAAAGCGUUAGCCCAGCCACACCGAGGCUUAACUGAGCCAUUUGAUUCUCACUGCCUCUCUCUGUUGCUUCCUCUUGCUUUCAACUACAGGGUCUUUCUGUUUAGGUGGUGAAAAAAAUGAUCGUUAAAAACAAUAAACCUGGGGACCUCUGAUACCAUG